rnacentral:tRNA from 1 species
GGGCGCAUAGCUCAGUCGGUAGAGCAUUCGCCUUUUAAGCGACAGGUCCUAGGUUCGAAUCCUAGUGCGCCCACCA